rnacentral:lncRNA from 1 species
AGUUGUUCGGAGCAGCUGCAAAGAGCUCUUUCGUGGAUGUGACAUUGGGAUUAGUUGCAGCGCUUCACACGACGUGCAUUCUUUUUACCGACCGCAAACGCAGGAGUUUUUUAAGUUCAUUCGUUUCAGAUGGCUGACGUCCUUUGGCCGGCCGAGGUUGCGUCCUUCCUGCUUAAGUUCUCGACGUUGGUCAUCGUGGUACUGCUAGGUGUUCCCCAAACGCUACCCAACAGCUAUCCAGCUGUUAAAAACGGUCCGUAUUGGACACUUCUCAAUGUUGCCCAAAUGGUGCUUCUGCUGGUCUCCACUGUGCUGGCCAUUACCAAAGGCUCAAUCAUUUUGGAGGGCGUCUAUCCCUUGGACCACAGCAGCGUAACAGCACUACGAGGGCCA